rnacentral:tRNA from 1 species
GGGGUUGUGGCUCAGUGGUAGAGCGCUUGCCUCGCAUGUAUGAGGCACUGGGUUCAAUCCUCAGCACCACA